AGGGAUCAUUACCGAGUUUACAACUCCCAAACCCAAUGUGAACCAUACCAAACUGUUGCCUCGGCGGGGUCACGCCCCGGGUGCGUCGCAGCCCCGGAACCAGGCGCCCGCCGGAGGGACCAACCAAACUCUUUCUGUAGUCCCCUCGCGGACGUUAAUUUCUUACAGCUCUGAGCAAAAAUUCAAAAUGAAUCAAAACUUUCAACAACGGAUCUCUUGGUUCUGGCAUCGAUGAAGAACGCAGCGAAAUGCGAUAAGUAAUGUGAAUUGCAGAAUUCAGUGAAUCAUCGAAUCUUUGAACGCACAUUGCGCCCGCCAGUAUUCUGGCGGGCAUGCCUGUCCGAGCGUCAUUUCAACCCUCGAACCCCUCCGGGGGGUCGGCGUUGGGGAUCGGGAACCCCUAAGACGGGAUCCCGGCCCCGAAAUACAGUGGCGGUCUCGCCGCAGCCUCUCCUGCGCAGUAGUUUGCACAACUCGCACCGGGAGCGCGGCGCGUCCACGUCCGUAAAACACCCAACUUCUGAAAUGUUGACCUCGGAUCAGGUAGGAAUACCCGCUGAACUUAAGCA
rnacentral:rRNA from 1 species